rnacentral:ncRNA from 1 species
GCCCAUCGUCGGGUUACCGGAGCUAUUUCAGUGUGUUGUAUAAUUGAGACGUUCCUUCAAUUUGGUAGAACCUAUUAAUCCGCUGGGUUCAGGCAAUGUCCGUAAAGUGCCUUGCCCAAGGACACAACCAACAAUAUCUAGAGACCAGUUUUCCCGAUAAGAAAACAGUGAGUAAGGCUGAUUGAAAUGGGGUCAAAAGUGAUCAGAGUAUGUCUUAUGAGACUGGUGAUCAUUAAAUAAACCUGCGGACUAAUGAAAUAGGACCUCGGUUCUAUUUUGUUGGUUUUCGGAACGCGAGGUAAUGAUUAAGAGGGACAGAGGGGGGCAUUCGUACUGUAUCGUUAGAGGUGAAAUUCUUGGAUCGGCGCAAGACGAACGACUGCGAAAUCAUUUGCCAAGAAUGUUUUCUUUGAUCAAGAGC